UCCACAUCAUGAUGAAAUACUGUUUCCUGUAUGAUUACCAAAGUUAAGCAACAUUGAGCCUGAUCAGUACCUAGAUGGGUGAAUACCUGGGAAUACCAGGCACUGUAA